GAGGAAUAAGCAUCGGCUAACUCCGUGCCAGCAGCCGCGGUAAUACGGGGGAUGCAAGCGUUAUCCGGAAUCAUUGGGCGUAAAGCGCCUGUAGGUUGUUUAAUAAGUCUGUUGUUAAAGACUAGGGCUUAACCCUAGGAAAGCAAUGGAAACUACUAGACUUGAGUAUGAUAGGGGUAGAGGGAAUUUCUAGUGUAGCGGUGAAAUGCGUAGAUAUUAGGAAGAACACCGGUGGCGAAGGCGCUCUACUGGAUCAUUACUGACACUCAGAGGCGAAAGCUAGGGUAGCAAAAGGGAUUAGAUACCCCUGUAGUCCUAGCCGUAAACGAUGGAUACUAGAUGUUGCGUUUAUUAUGCAGUAUCGUAGCUAACGCGUUAAGUAUCCCGCCUGGGGAGUACGCUCGCAAGGGUGAAACUCAAAGGAAUUGACGGGGGCCCGCACAAGCGGUGGAGCAUGUGGUUUAAUUCGAUGCAACGCGAAGAACCUUACCAAGGCUUGACAUACUACAAAUUUCUUUGAAAGAGGAAAGUGCCUUCGGGAAUGUAGAUACAGGUGGUGCAUGGCUGUCGUCAGCUCGUGUCGUGAGAUGUUGGGUUAAGUCCCGCAACGAGCGCAACCCUUAUUUUUAGUUGGUAAUUUAUUAGGUUUUCUAAAAAGACUGCCGGUGACAAACCGGAGGAAGGUGAGGAUGACGUCAAGUCAGCAUGCCCCUUAUGCCUUGGGCUACACACGUGCUACAAUGGUUAAGACAAAGAGUUGCGAGCUCGCGAGAGUCAGCUAAUCUCAUAAACUUAGCCUAAGUUCGGAUUGUAGGCUGCAACUCGCCUGCAUGAAG
rnacentral:rRNA from 1 species